rnacentral:rRNA from 1 species
CAUGCAAGUCGAACGGCAGCACGGGAGCUUGCUCCUGGUGGCGAGUGGCGAACGGGUGAGUAAUGCACCGGAACGUACCCAGUAAUGGGGGAUAACACAUCGAAAGAUGUGCUAAUACCGCAUACGCCCUGAGGGGGAAAGCGGGGGAUCGUAAGACCUCGCGUUAUUGGAGCGGCCGAUGCCGGAUUAGCUAGUUGGUGGGGUAAAGGCUCACCAAGGCGACGAUCCGUAGCUGGUCUGAGAGGACGACCAGCCACACUGGGACUGAGACACGGCCCAGACUCCUACGGGAGGCAGCAGUGGGGAAUUUUGGACAAUGGGGGAAACCCUGAUCCAGCCAUGCCGCGUGAGUGAAGAAGGCCUUCGGGUUGUAAAGCUCUUUCGCAAGGAAAGAAAACUUAUCCGCUAAUACCGGGUGAGGUUGACGGUACCUUGAUAAGAAGCACCGGCUAACUACGUGCCAGCAGCCGCGGUAAUACGUAGGGUGC